UACGGGGGGAGCAAGCGUUGUUCGGAUUUACUGGGCGUAAAGGGCGCGUAGGCGGCCACCGCAAGUCAAUUGUGAAAUCUCCGGGCUUAACUCGGAAAGGUCAACUGAUACUGCGGGGCUAGGAGUGCGGAAGGGGCAACUGGAAUUCUCGGUGUAGCGGUGAAAUGCGUAGAUAUCGAGAGGAACACCUGCGGCGAAGGCGGGUUGCUGGGCCGACACUGACGCUGAUGCGCGAAAGCCAGGGGAGCGAAGCGGGAUUAGACUACC
rnacentral:rRNA from 1 species